ACAUUUGCUCAAACUAUUCAAAAAUAUCUUCUGAAGAGAGACCCAAUGAAUUACCCAGAGAUUAGAGUUCCUCCAAAGAAUGCCUCGGGAGACCAUUUAUUGGGAAACUAGAUCACAUGUCAUUUUGCAGUCUACUAAUAAGCUACACAUUCAAACUGUUAAAUUUUCCUUAAGUGGAAGGUCUGACAGCUUUAGCUUUAGCUCUCCCCAGGGCAAUUUUUCACAACUAUUGUGGGAGUCUAAUGGAAAAAGCUAAGGAAAAAAUUCCAAAGAAAGGAUAUUUUUCAAAGCAAUCUUAUGAAACUCAAAACUAUCUUAAUGGUAAACUAUGUAAUAAAUUUCUAUUGCUACAGGACUUGGGUUCUUAGGAUGUUGAAAAGUAAAGGAUCAUAGAGAUCAUCUAAUUAAAUCCCUUCAUUUUCUAGCAGAGGAAAACUAGACCCCGAGAAGGAAUAUAGCUUACCCAAGAUCAGCAAUGUUAGCAUUUGAAUCCAGGCCCUCAUUCUAGUGUUUAUCCUAUUUUAGCACAGCAUUUCAAAGUUGAAAGGGACCCUCAUAGCUUUAAGUCCAAUUCUUAUUCCCUAAAGAAUAUCAGGUACAAAUUGGUUUGGGAUCUAGUCUUUGCUUGAUGACCUCCAGUAAAGAGGAAUGCAUUACUUCCCAAGACAGCCUGGUCCACAUUCAGAGAACUCUAAUUGUUAGGGAGAGUUCCCCUGCCUUGUAUCCAAUCACAAUUAGCCUUUUUGAAAUUUCUACCCAUUGUUCCUAACCUUCUGGGGCUAAAACAAGAGUAAUCCCUUUUUCAGCACAUAGUCAUUCAAUCACUUCAACUAUUUUAUUCACUCUUCCCUCUUCUUCACAGCCUUCUCUUCUCCAGAGUAAACAGCAAUAGUGCCUUAAAAGGUCUGGGUCACCUUUUCUGACACUAAAAUGACAUCUCUUCACCCAGGGUGCACACGGACAGAAUCAGACCAGAAUCUGAGUUGGAAGAGAAUUUAGAAGAGCAAUCUGUCUGAAAAGUGCCAGCUGAUAGGACGCUGGAGACCACUACUUCUUAUGAGAAGCCUUUCCUGAUCCUCUGUAAUGAAUAGGGAUAUUGCUAUGGAGUAGCUAUGGGAAAACUAUAUCCACUUUUCUUUUCUCUUGGAGUUUCUGUAUGAUAUGCCUAGACCUGGCAUUUUUUCCAGUGGCACAAGAUCAGCAUUCUUGAACAGGUCCUAAAUACUGGGGGCACAAAUAAGAAAAAGGCAAUCCUUGGUCUCAAAGGGCUGAUAAUCUAAUGUGAGAAUACAACACAAAAGGAAACUCAAUUCAUGAUUUCUCCUCAUUUUCCACAGAGAAUGAUUUAAAUAAGAAUACUUUAGGGAUAGAUUUCUUUACAGGUCCUUAGAAACAAUUCACAAAUGAGAAUGCCAUAAUGGAAAGAAUUACUUGGAAAUGGAAUCAGAAGACCUGAGGCUAAGCCCCAAAUCUCCUAUUUACUUGUAAUGUGACCUUGGACAAUUUCUUCAAUCUCUCAGAGCCUCAGGCUCUUCAUCUAAAAAAAGGAAAUGAUAUUUGCUCUAUGGUCAAGGUUGUUGUAAGGACUGCAUGUAAGUGUAUAAGAAGUGUUUCAUGCCUGUAAUGUGCUACACAAAAAUAAGAGAAUGUUAGCCUUUUUGUAACACAUAAAAUGUAAUUGUUAGGUCUAUGACUGUUAUGAAACAAAGAAUAAUAAAGGAAUGAAUGAAAUAAAAUAGAGUAGUAGACAACAUUUAUGUAAAGCCAUUCAACUUUUGGCAAUAUACACAUAAUAAAGAUUUAAUU